AGUGCGUAAUAGCUCACUGGUCGAGUGAUCCGGCGCCGAAGAUUUCCGGGGCUAAAACUUACUACCGAAGCUACGGCAUCAGUAAUGAUGGGUAGGGGAGCGUCCCAUACGGGUUGAAGCAUGACCGGAAGGACAUGUGGACAGUAUGGGAGUGAGAAUGUUGGCAGGAGUAGCGAGAUGUGGGUGAGAAUCCCACAGGCCGUAAACCCAAGGUUUCCAGGGGAAGGUUCGUCCGCCCUGGGUUAGUCGGGACCUAAGCUGAGGCCGAAAGGC
rnacentral:rRNA from 1 species